rnacentral:rRNA from 1 species
AUGAACGCUGGCGGCGUGCCUAAUACAUGCAAGUCGAGCGAACAGACGAGGAGCUUGCUCCUCUGACGUUAGCGGCGGACGGGUGAGUAACACGUGGAUAACCUACCUAUAAGACUGGGAUAACUUCGGGAAACCGGAGCUAAUACCGGAUAAUAUAUUGAACCGCAUGGUUCAAUAGUGAAAGACGGUUUUGCUGUCUCUUAUAGAUGGAUCCGCGCCGCAUUAGCUAGUUGGUAAGGUAACGGCUUACCAAGGCGACGAUGCGUAGCCGACCUGAGAGGGUGAUCGGCCACACUGGAACUGAGACACGGUCCAGACUCCUACGGGAGGCAGCAGUAGGGAAUCUUCCGCAAUGGGCGAAAGCCUGACGGAGCAACGCCGCGUGAGUGAUGAAGGUCUUCGGAUCGUAAAACUCUGUUAUUAGGGAAGAACAAAUGUGUAAGUAACUAUGCACGUCUUGACGGUACCUAAUCAGAAAGCCACGGCUAACUACGUG